rnacentral:ncRNA from 1 species
AAGGCACCCAAUGAAACUCCCCAUGUCCUUGAAGGGAGUGGCCACUGCUCCCGUAGACGGCAUGGGGAG